rnacentral:lncRNA from 1 species
GACCCCGGGCGGUGGGGGCGUGCGCUCGACUGCCUGACAAACACCCCGACGCCGACGCCGCUCCGGCGCAAUUUUCCGCGGCUUUUCCGGCCGUGCGGACACGGGCUGUGUGCUCAGCGGCGCCGGGGCCGGGCGCGAGCCGGUCGGGCGCCGACAGGCAACGGUGAAUACGCCUCUCUCUGCCGGGGUCCUUGCCGCGGUCGCGUUCUGGAGCUUCUGGCACUCGCGACGACCCGUACCUUGCCGCAGUCCUCCUCGCUCGGUUCUUUCCCCGCCGGCCCGGGGAAAUGGCGGGAACCCCGAUGGCACGGGGACCGAACGGCCGCUCCCCGCCGCUGGCACCGAAGCAGCUCGAGGAGGCGGCUGCUCUGUGUGCCGGAACGAGGCAAUCCUCCCCUGGCAGCUGCUGAGAGCACUGAAAACCUGUGUGCUUCGUGGUGUCUGUUGGCCAGCUGGAAACGAUUCCCUUGUGUUUGGUGCAUUAACUCCCAGCGACCUGUGUGCGGUGGCAGUCAGCUGGGCCCUUUAUUGAACAGAUUUAUCUGCUACAAGGCUACGCAGAAGGAUGGAAA